rnacentral:rRNA from 1 species
CCAGGCGCAUGCUACACAUGCAGUCGAGCGGUAGCACAGAGAGCUUGCUCUCGGGUGACGAGCGGCGGACGGGUGAGUAAUGUCUGGGAAACUGCCUGAUGGAGGGGGAUAACUACUGGAAACGGUAGCUAAUACCGCAUAACGUCGCAAGACCAAAGUGGGGGACCUUCGGGCCUCAUGCCAUCAGAUGUGCCCAGAUGGGAUUAGCUAGUAGGUGGGGUAAUGGCUCACCUAGGCGACGAUCCCUAGCUGGUCUGAGAGGAUGACCAGCCACACUGGAACUGAGACACGGUCCAGACUCCUACGGGAGGCAGCAGUGGGGAAUAUUGCACAAUGGGCGCAAGCCUGAUGCAGCCAUGCCGCGUGUAUGAAGAAGGCCUUCGGGUUGUAAAGUACUUUCAGCGAGGAGGAAGGCGUUAAGGUUAAUAACCUUGGCGAUUGACGUUACUCGCAGAAGAAGCACCGGCUAACUCCGUGCCAGCAGCCGCGGUAAUACGGAGGGUGCAAGCGUUAAUCGGAAUUACUGGGCGUAAAGCGCACGCAGGCGGUCUGUCAAGUCGGAUGUGAAAUCCCCGGGCUCAACCUGGGAACUGCAUUCGAAACUGGCAGGCUAGAGUCUUGUAGAGGGGGGUAGAAUUCCAGGUGUAGCGGUGAAAUGCGUAGAGAUCUGGAGGAAUACCGGUGGCGAAGGCGGCCCCCUGGACAAAGACUGACGCUCAGGUGCGAAAGCGUGGGGAGCAAACAGGAUUAGAUACCCUGGUAGUCCACGCCGUAAACGAUGUCGACUUGGAGGUUGUGCCCUUGAGGCGUGGCUUCCGGAGCUAACGCGUUAAGUCGACCGCCUGGGGAGUACGGCCGCAAGGUUAAAACUCAAAUGAAUUGACGGGGGCCCGCACAAGCGGUGGAGCAUGUGGUUUAAUUCGAUGCAACGCGAAGAACCUUACCUACUCUUGACAUCCAGAGAACUUAGCAGAGAUGCUUUGGUGCCUUCUGGAACUCUGAGACAGUGCUGCAUGGCUGUCGUCAGCUCGUGUUGUGAAAUGUUGGGUUA